UACGGAGGGUGCAAGCGUUAAUCGGAAUUACUGGGCGUAAAGGGUGCGUAGGUGGUUUAGUAAGUUAUCUGUGAAAUCCCUGGGCUUAACCUAGGCAGGUCAGAUAAGACUGUUAGACUCGAGUAUGGUAGAGGGUAGUGGAAUUUCCGGUGUAGCGGUGAAAUGCGUAGAGAUCGGAAGGAACACCAGUGGCGAAGGCGGCUACCUGGACCAAUACUGACACUGAGGCACGAAAGCGUGGGGAGCAAACAGG
rnacentral:rRNA from 1 species